rfam:Triticum aestivum genome assembly, contig: Triticum_aestivum_CS42_TGACv1_scaffold_516001_6BS
UAAAUACUCCCUCCGACCGGAAAUACUUGUCGGAGAAAUGGAUGUAUCUAGACGUAUUCUAGUUCCAGAUACAUCCAUUUCUUCAACAAGUAUAUCCGGACGAAGGGAGUAUUAA